rnacentral:rRNA from 1 species
AGGGCUAACGCUGGCGGCGCGCCUAACACAUGCAAGUCGAACGAACCCUUCGGGGUUAGUGGCAGACGGGUGAGUAACGCGUGGAUAAUGUGCCUUCUUGCUGGGGAUACCGUUUCGAAAGGAACGUUAAUACCGUAAUGUGCUCAUCUGGUGGCAUCACCUAAUGAGUAAACUUUCAGGGCGAGAAGAGCAAUCCGCGUUCUAUCAGCUUGUUGGUGGGGUAACGGCCUACCAAGGCUACGACGGAUAACUGGUCUGAGAGGAUGAUCAGUCACACUGGAACUGAGACACGGUCCAGACUCCUACGGGAGGCAGCAGUGAGGAAUCUUGCACAAUGGG